UUUCACAGUGUUGCAUUAGUGAAGCAAAGGCAUCCAAGUCUUUCUUUCCGUCGAGGUGGAUGCCGUCGAUGAUCCUACUUCCUUGGCACAGUAUCU